AUUUAGCCCCGAUUGCAGCGGCAUCCUUUUUUGUGAUAUUGAGCGGAGUCGAAAUAUGAACAAAAAAAAUAUAGCGAAAAGCGGGACUGCGU
rnacentral:sRNA from 1 species